CAGCAGCCGCGGUAAUACGGAGGGUGCAAGCGUUAAUCGGAAUUACUGGGCGUAAAGCGCACGCAGGCGGUCUGUCAAGUCGGAUGUGAAAUCCCCGGGCUCAACCUGGGAACUGCAUCCGAAACUGGCAGGCUAGAGUCUUGUAGAGGGGGGUAGAAUUCCAGGUGUAGCGGUGAAAUGCGUAGAGAUCUGGAGGAAUACCGGUGGCGAAGGCGGCCCCCUGGACAAAGACUGACGCUCAGGUGCGAAAGCGUGGGGAGCAAACAGGAUUAGAUACCCCUGUAGUCCCUGUCUCUUAUAC
rnacentral:rRNA from 1 species